rnacentral:rRNA from 1 species
CCUACGGGAGGCAGCAGUGGGGAAUAUUGCACAAUGGGCGGAACCCUGAUGCAGCGACGCCGCGUGGGUGAGGAAGUUCUUCGGUAUGUAAAGCCCUAUCAGCAGGGAAGAAAAUGACGGUACCUGACUAAGAAGCACCGGCUAACUACGUGCCAGCAGCCGCGGUAAUACGUAGGGGGCAAGCGUUAUCCGGAUUGACUGGGUGUAAAGGGUGCGCAGGCGGAAUGUCAAGUCAGCGGUAAAAUUUCGGGGCUCAACCCCGUCGUGCCGUUGAAACUGGCGUUCUGGAGUGAGCGAGAAGUAUGCGGAAUGCGUGGUGUAGCGGUGAAAUGCAUAGAUAUCACGCAGAACUCCGAUUGCGAAGGCAGCAUACCGGCGCUCAACUGACGCUCAUGCACGAAAGCGUGGGUAUCGAACAGGAUUAGAUACCCGUGUAGUC